CCCUUAGAUGUUCUGGGCCGCACGCGCGCUACAAUGAUGAAUUCAACGAGUUUAUAACCUUGGUUGAAAAGCCUGGGUAAUCUUUUGAACUUUCGUCGUGAUGGGGCUAGACCCUUGCAAUUAUUGGUCUCCAACGAGGAAUUCCUAGUAAACGCAAGUCAUCAGCUUGCAUUGAUUACGUCCCUGCCCUUUGUACACACCGCCCGUCGCACCUACCGAUUGAAUGGUCCGGUGAAAUCUUCGGAUUGAGACUUUGAUUUCUUCACGGAAAACGCUGUUUUAAAAAGUUGAUUAAACCUUACCAUUUAGAGGAAGGUGAAGUCGGAACA
rnacentral:rRNA from 1 species